GAGUCUCACUCUGUCACCCAUGCUGGAGUGCAGUGGAGCAAUCUUGGCUCACUGCAACCUCUGCCUCCCAGGUUUAAGGGAUUCUCCUGCCUCAGCCUCCUGAGUAGCUGGGAUUACAGCCUCCCGGGUAGCUGGGAUUACAGGUGCACACCACCACACCCAGCUAAUUUUUGUAUUUUUAGUAGAGAUGGGGUUUUGCCAGGCUGGCUGGUCUCAAACUCCUGACUUCAGGUGAUCCGCCUGCCUCGGCCUCCCAAAGUGCUGGGAUUACAGGUGUGAACCACUGCGCCCAGCCUUAUGUUAACCUUAAAAAAAAAAAAUGCUAUUUCUCUUUCUUCCUGUAGAUUCAAGAAUCCAGAAAUGAAUUAUCUGGAUUCAUUUCCUUUAUCCAGUACAGCUUUGCCUCUACUGGCUUCCUUUGUGCAAUUAUUAGCAAAUUACAUUCCUAUAUGUUAUAGGCCCAACAAUACAUGAAUACAUAUUGUUUUAGGCUUCAACAUAUAAAUUCGGGGCGUACAUAAACAUUCAGUCCAUACCACCUGGCUAGAAGUUCUAGUACAAUGUUUAAUAGAAGUGGUAAGGGUAGACAUUCUUGUCUUCUUGAUCUUAGGGGUAAGCAUCCAAUCUUCACCAAUAAUGAUGAUGUUCACUGUGAGUUUUUCAUAGAUGUUCAGGUUGAAGAAGUUCCCUUCUUUCCUAUUUUGUUUUUACUAUGAAAGGGUGUGGGAUUUUGUUAAAUAGUUUUUUUAUAUCUACCGAGAUGAUCAUGUGGUUUGUGUCUUUUAUUUUAUAUAUUACAUAUUUAUAUAUUAAUAAAAUAUUAUAUAUUUUAUAUAUCAUAGCACUUCCUGUGCUCAAGCAAUCUUCCCACUUCAGCCUCCAGAGUAGCUGGGACUACAGGAACAUACCACCAUGUAUGGAUAAUUUUGUUUAUUUUUUUUAAGAGACAAGGUCUUACUAUGUUGCCCAGGCUAGUCUUGAACUCCUGGACUCAAGUGAUUCACCUGCCUUGGCCUCCCAAAGUGCUGGGAUUACAGGCAUUUUCUUAAAUCCAAUCCGAUAAUCUCUGCCUUUCAUUUGGAUUAUUUAAUCCAUUCCCAUUAAUUUUAUUACUGAAAUAGCUGAAUUUUGCCUGUCAUUUUCCUUUGUU
rnacentral:lncRNA from 1 species